UACGGGGGGGGCAAGCGUUGUUCGGAAUUACUGGGCGUAAAGGGCUCGUAGGCGGCCAACUAAGUCGAACGUGAAAUCCCUGGGCUCAACCCAGGAACUGCGUCCGAUACUGGUUGGCUUGAAUCCGGGAGAGGGAUGUGGAAUUCCAGGUGUAGCGGUGAAAUGCGUAGAUAUCUGGAGGAACACCGGUGGCGAAGGCGACAUCCUGGACCGGUAUUGACGCUGAGGCGCGAAAGCCAGGGGAGCAAACGGG
rnacentral:rRNA from 1 species